UGUGACAUACUCAUUCACUUCCUCUGAGUUCUCAGUUCAUAUAUUGUCCCUUUUGUGGUUAUAAUUAAUUAAAUCAUUCAAAUUUCUCGCAACAGUUCACCAGUGUUUGCUAAAACAUUGCAUUGGAGAGCUAGUCUUGCAAGGUAGUUGUUGCAUGGCGUUAGUGAAAUAAUGAGCAUUCGGAUUGCGGAUAGUGCUGUAAAUUGCUGCUAUAACUCGAGGUUGGUUUUCCUUAUAAAAUUUUAAUUUUCUUUAUCGACUACCUCUUGGCACAUACUCACACCUUCAUAAUUUAAGUUUCUUCUUCUUCUUUGUUUUUUCACUGUGAUGGAACCUUUUAGAGUAAACAUACAUGAGUUUGUGUAUUAAAAAACAAGAAAACAAAUGAAAAACCAUGUGAAAUUCAGUUUAAGAUUAAGAAAAGAUUCUUAAACCAAAAUCAAAAUAUUUAAAAACUAACAAACAUUUAUGGUCCCCCUUGAUAAUGAUUUCAGGUUUUGUUUUUAUUAGUUUUCACUUUUCAAUUUUUAAAAACUAAAACUACAAAACUUGUUUGGUAACCAAUUUUAGUUUUAAAAAUGAAAUUGAAAAUUGUUUAAAAGUUGUCUGAUAACUUAUUUCAGUUUUAUUUGGAACUUGGAAAUUAAAUUUUUUUGAGGUCAAAUUGUGAAUAUGAGAUCAUAUAUAAUGAAAGUCCAUGUUCCAAAUAUGAUCCUAGUCGGGAGGUCCCAAAUACGAAGUUUGGUAACUUAAGUGCAAUGCAUGUGUGGUGAUGUUAAUUGGUAAAAGAGAAAGAAGCACAAAAAAAAAAGAAAAAAAAAAAGAACUAAAACUAAACACUAACAGCUAUCAUUAUCUCUCUUAUUGAAUUACAAUUAGUCAAGUGAGCAACGUCUUGGUCAUGAGCUUGUUGUCGAUUUGAACUUUGUGAUCAAAUUUGCCCGGUUUGUAGUGAACCGAAUGGAACUAUGCGGGAGUAAUUGGAUUUGAAACUCGGAUAUCGGAGGUUUUUAAAUGAUGGAUUCAACUGGAAUAUGAGUGGGGUAGUGUUUGUCACAAAAAGAGGGUGUUCAGUUUGGUAUACCACUGAAUCGACGGUGGUCGAAAUUCUACAAUCGGAACCACAACCAACGCCAUCAGUAAGCUCUUGCAUUUCUUAUGAAAAUUUCAACAUCUUUAUAAUAAAAGCGUUUUUGCGAGAAGCUCUUAUGAGUAGAAGUGUUUCCUAGAGAAGAAGUCCCAAACAAGUGGUAGAAGCGCUUCUUUCCAACAAGCAGGUUAAGGGAUUGAGUCCCCUUUGGUACAUAAUUUGAAACAUUCUUUACAACCGGUUCAGUUCGA